rnacentral:tRNA from 1 species
GCGCCUGUAGUUCAGCUGGAUAGAAUGCCGGACUUCGAAUCCGUAGGUCGCAGGUUCGAAUCCUGCCAGGCGCACCA